UCAGAUUGAACGCUGGCGGCAGGCCUAACACAUGCAAGUCGAGCGGUAACAUUUCUAGCUUGCUAGAAGAUGACGAGCGGCGGACGGGUGAGUACAACUUGGGAAUCUGCCUGAUGGAGGGGGACAACCACUGGAAACGGUGGCUAAUACCGCAUAAUUUCUGUAGAGCAAAGUGGGGGAUCUUCGGACCUCACGCCAUCAGAUGAGCCCAAGCAAGAUUAGGUAGUUGGUGGGGUAAAGGCCUACCAAGCCGACGAUCUUUAGCUGGUCUGAGAGGAUGAUCAGCCACACUGGGACUGAGACACGGCCCAGACUCCUACGGGAGGCAGCAGUGGGGAAUAUUGGACAAUGGGGGCAACCCUGAUCCAGCCAUGCCGCGUGUGUGAAGAAGGCCUUCGGGUUGUAAAGCACUUUCAGUGGUGAGGAAGGCUUGCAAGUUAAUAGCUUGCGAGAUUGACGUUAGCCACAGAAGAAGCACCGGCUAACUCCGUGCCAGCAGCCGCGGUAAUACGGAGGGUGCGAGCGUUAAUCGGAAUUACUGGGCGUAAAGCGCACGUAGGCGGUUUGUUAAGCAAGAUGUGAAAGCCCCGGGCUCAACCUGGGAAUUGCAUUUUGAACUGGCAGGCUAGAGUUUUGAAGA
rnacentral:rRNA from 1 species